rnacentral:rRNA from 1 species
GAUGAACGCUGGCGGCGUGCCUAAUACAUGCAAGUCGAGCGAACAGACGAGGAGCUUGCUCCUCUGACGUUAGCGGCGGACGGGUGAGUAACACGUGGAUAACCUACCUAUAAGACUGGGAUAACUUCGGGAAACCGGAGCUCAUACCGGAUAAUAUAUUGAACCGCAUGGUUCAAUAGUGAAAGACGGUUUUGCUGUCACUUAUAGAUGGAUCCGCGCCGCAUUAGCUAGUUGGUAAGGUAACGGCUUACCAAGGCAACGAUGCGUAGCCGACCUGAGAGGGUGAUCGGCCACACUGGAACUGAGACACGGUCCAGACUCCGACGGGAGGCAGCAGUAGGGAAUCUUCCGCAAUGGGCGAAAGCCUGACGGAGCAACGCCGCGUGAGUGAUGAAGGUCUUCGGAUCGUAAAACUCUGUUAUUAGGGAAGAACAAAUGUGUAAGUAACUAUGCACGUCUUGACGGUACCUAAUCAGAAAGCCACGGCUAACUACGUG